UACGGAAGGGGCUAGUGUUAUUCGAAAUUACUGGGCGUAAAGGGUAGCUAGGCUGUUGAUUCAGUUGUAAGUUAAAGACCAAGGCUCAACUUUGGGGAUGCUUACAAAACUAUUCAACUUGAAUUAGAUAAAGGGUAAUAGAAUUUCUAAUGGAGGGUUAAGUUCUGUAGAUAUUAGAAGGAAUAUCAAUAGCGAAGGCAAUUACCUAGGUCUAUAUUGACGCUGAACUACGAAGGUGUAGGUAUCGAACCGGAUUAG
rnacentral:rRNA from 1 species